rnacentral:lncRNA from 1 species
UAGCGUGAGAAUAAGUUGUGAUAGAUUAAAUGUAUGGCUCAUGUGAGUAUAUAGCUGUAAUACUUUCAUGCAUUUUCUCCAUACAACAGGUUUAGCUCCAUUUUACUUUUACAUUUUAGUCAUUUAGCAGACGCUCUUAUCCAGAGCGACUUACAGUAGUGAGUGUAUACAUUUUCAUACUCCAGUGAAUCUCUCCAGGAUUUCGCAUGGAUUUUUUGGAUAUUAGCUGAUAAAUAUGCUAGAUUUUGCAGCGACAAUUAUGACAUUUUGCAUAGCAAUAUGCAAUUGUUUUGUCCAAUUUGUUGCAAAAAUGCGCUGACAAGGAAAAAACUGUGUUGACGUCUGGCUUGAUUGAACCAUAUUAUGCAGUAAAUGUGCGGUGAUUGGUUGAAAUUGCGAGCCCUCUUUUUGUACUGUGGUAAUGGGUCAGUUCUAUGCAAUAAUAUUGUGAUGACGUGACUAUUUUAUUCAGAAAUAGUUUGGUGAUUGGUCAAAUUUGUAAGCCCUCACAUAAUAUGCAGGGAAUUGUUGAUUUUGCAACCAAAACAAUGCGAUCGCAGAGUCCUGGAGUAACCUCCCAGUAAUCCCUGUGACUGCGUGUUGGUUAAGAUUGGGUUGUAACAGAGUAUCAGAGCGAGACGUUUCUACCUGGCAGCUAGUAAUUGUUCUGUGUGGUGACAUGAGCAGAGUGGCCUGACUUCUCCCACUUAUUACAGAUGUCCGACUUAGAUAUGUUGAGCAUCCUGCUAUGAUGUCCAUCACCAAGCCGGAACAUUCCGAUGCCAACCCUCAGUGCCAGACUGGCAGCCGGCCGGUGGCUGAGCCCGAGACCCCUGCUGUUCACAAUAACAGUGGAGGCUGGCUCAGCUGGGUCUUUGGGAGUGGAAGAGUUAAUAAGAAGGAGGUUCAUCUACCUGAGGACAAAGACAGAUCUAUUGUCUGGGAUCCAACUCUGCACAGAUGGGUUAACAAAACUGAGCCCAAGGCUGAGGUACACACUUAAAUUCAAAGAAAUAAAAACAGUGAACAACCAUUGUAUUUCAACUGUGAUAAUAUUACUAACAAUUUGGAAAAUGUGUUGAUGUGUUUUACAGAACAAGUGUGUACCACCACCUCCACCGAUGGGGACCUAUGGAUAUCAGGGGAACACUGGCAGUGUCCCCAAAGGAGUGAAUCCUUACUCUAUGAAAGCAGGUGAAUAUUGCUUUAGAAUACAUGUGGUUUAACCAAGACUGUGUCAGCCAAUCAUAGAUGUCCCUGGUGGUCCCCUGCUAACACCUUUCCCACUACCAGCAGGUCUAUGGGGCAGCAGAUACCCUACAAUGCAUGACAAUGAUGGGACCAACUCAAAGCCUCCAAGCCAUGGUCCUGGACUGCUUCCUAGACAGCUCUCUGGCUUGCUCCCUCCUUCACACUUCGACCUCAUGGCACCAAUGGUUGUGCCACCUGACACUCUACCCUACUGAGGUAUGAUUCUGGAAAAUCCUUCCAAAUUGUAUCCUUCAUCAUUAACUGAGAUUUUACUUUAACAUAGCAAAUGGCUGAAGUAGCAAGGAUGUUAACUAUUUUUUAUUUUUGUCCAACAGGCCAUUUGCCCAGAGUGGAUUUGCCAAUAUUCAGCAUUAAAAAUGUAUUAAAACAUGAUCUUUUAAUUAAAUCUCUCCUUUGUGUCCUCAUGUUCACAUUAAUUUGAUGUGUUCUAUCAUCAUUUACAAUGCUUAUUGCUUCUGCAUUGCUUUACGUUACAGACAAGUAUACUGCUCAAAAAAAUAAAGGAAACACUAAAUCACACAAAAGUAAUCAAUGGAAAUCCAAUUUAUCAACCCAUGGAGGUCUGGAUUUGGAGUCAC